CCCUCUAAUAAGGCAGAGAUCUACUCACUGAGAACGGUUUAUGAAGAGAGAAGAAGGGGCAACCAUAUAGGGCUAGUGCUGUAGGAACACAUGUUUUGAAUCUGGUGAUGCAUUCUAAAAAAUCAACUUUGGUGCCAAGAAUUGGACAGAUGCUGACUCACCAGAUGAUACAGCUUAGGAGCUUGAUACAGAUGAUACAGACAUGAGUAAAUACUGUAUCCCCAUUUUGCAAGUGAACAUUUUUGUGGCAUUUCAGUGCUUGGGGAAAGA
rnacentral:lncRNA from 1 species